rnacentral:rRNA from 1 species
UACGAAGGGGGCUAGCGUUGCUCGGAAUCACUGGGCGUAAAGGGUGCGUAGGCGGGUCUUUAAGUCAGGGGUGAAAUCCUGGAGCUCAACUCCAGAACUGCCUUUGAUACUGAAGAUCUUGAGUUCGGGAGAGGUGAGUGGAACUGCGAGUGUAGAGGUGAAAAUUCGUAGAUAUUCGCAAGAACACCAGUGGCGAAGGCGGCUCACUGGCCCGAUACUGACGCUGAGGCACGAAAGCGUGGGGAGCAA